AAAAACAUCACGCCAAAAAAAGAAACAAUGGGCUCACUAACAAAAACCAGUGAGUAGCCAAUCUAAGCGAUCCAAAAUUAGUUCUGGGUCGACAGAGAUAGAACGUCUGAAGCAGGAUUAACAGGUGAGAUGCGGACUUGACACAAAAUGUUCCUGAAAUUAGUGGGUGGGCAUCGGAAUGCCAUACCGACUUCCUCCAAUUCUCCACCUGGAAUUUCUUGCGAAUACGGCUCCAUACUUCUCACGCUUUUUACACUUUACAGAAUCUCUCCCAUUGAAAAGGAGUUUGUCACUCCAAGAGCCAACAGAAGGUCUCCCCAGCCCCUCCCGUUAUUUAUUUACACUGUGCACACCCAGAAUGCGAAACCAAGCCAACCCAUAAAUAAAACCUUUUUUUGUACUUCCACUUUAAGACUGGUUUUUCAUCCCUCUCUUUUUCCGCUCUUUUCAUUUUAUUUUUUCUUUCUGUUUUCGCCCUACCCAAGUUCUCUCCCGCUCGCGCUCUCUCCUUUUCCACCAAUGCGUCUUGAGGAAAAACAGGCGGAACAGUCUUUUGCCGGUCUCUGAUCUCGUAUUAUUGGACGCUAGCAGUUGCAUUGGUCGGUCCUGUCCUGAUUAUCUGGGAUCUUCUUCCUCUGAACUGCAUAUUCAGAUAAUCAGGGAAUUAGAUGGGACAGAAGACGGCUUUAUCGGUGUUCUUGGCGGUGGUAUCUGUCGUUGGGGCAGGCAUCGUAUACGUCCAUCGCCUUCAACAGCAAGAGCGCCAGAACAUGAGAAAGUCUGCCCCUUUUCCUUCCUCUUCUUCUAAGCAACCAUGACAGUCAUUCGUCACCACCGUUCAUUCCCGUGAAAGUUCUUUGGUUCAGAGGAGACUUUGCUGUUGGACUCAAACUUUGGCUUCACAAAAGAUGGGUGAUGCUUAUUAGCUUUAGCCUGUCGUGGCAAAUAUAAUUACCUAGAGCACUGCUGGUUCUACGUAGCACUUUCGGCACACAGAAGCUGUCCUCUGCCACAGAUUUUCUCUCUCUAUAUUUCUCAUUUUCACUUCUGUCUAAUCUUUCUGUAUUUCAGUGGGAAAGGGGUACUUGUGAAUGGGAAUUGGGACAUUUCCUGCAAUUUUUACUUGCAUUAAGCAUGUAGCAUCAGUUCUUGAGAGAAAAGUUUCUUGAACUCA